rnacentral:rRNA from 1 species
GAUGAACGCUAGCGGCAGGCUUAAUACAUGCAAGUCGUGGGGCAGCAGGACUGUAGCAAUACAGUUGCUGGCGACCGGCAAACGGGUGCGGAACACGUACGCAACUUACCUUGAACUGGGGGAAAGCCGGGGGAAACCCGGAUUAAUACCCCGUAAUAUAAUGGAGUGGCAUCACUUUAUUAUUAAAGCUCCGGCGGUUCGGGAUGGGCGUGCGACUGAUUAGGUAGUUGGUUGAGGAAACGGCUCACCAACCCUACGAUCAGUAACUGAUGUGAGAGCACGACCAGUCACACGGGCACUGAGACACGGGCCCGACUCCUACGGGAGGCAGCAGUAAGGAAUAUUGGGCAAGGGAGGCAACUCUGACCCAGCCAUGCCGCGUGGAGGAUGAAGGCCAUCUGGGUUGUAAACUUCUUUUAUAGGGGACGAAACCUGUGUAUUCUUACGCAGUUGACGGUACCCUAGGAAUAAGCACCGGCUAACUCCGUG